CCGGCCUCGCCGAGCACUCGGGCUCCUCCCGACCUGCGGCAUGGCCCGCUGACGGGGAAGGGGGCUCGGGAAGCUGCCCCGGCCUAGUCACCCCCGCCCGCGGCCGCCAGCGCCCGUCCCUUCGCCUCCCGGGUCCCGCGCUCCUCACCUCCUGGGCGCCGGCGGUGGCUCCAUGGCGGUCCGGAGCAGAAAGAGGGAGCGGGUGGACCCUAGAGGCCAGAGGGAGGAAAGGAGCCGGGGCACCGGACAGCCGAGCCCGGGUGAAAAAAAUGCCUUAAGCUUCUGUUUUAAUUUGUCUGUGGAAAGCCAGCCUAAAGAUUCCAAGAAGAAAAGCAUAGAAAUCAUCAUUCAACCUGCUAAUAAGAAGUAGAAGCAUCCAUGAGCAAAUAGAAGCAUAGAUAAAUUCAAGAUACAGUUAAGAGUCACUCAGCUUCACUUAACUGUGAAAUAAGGCCCAAGAUGGACACCGAUGUUUGGCGUCACAUGGAAACAUGACAAUAUCCAGCAACAGAAAAGAAUUCCUUCUUUCUGAACAUCAUUUUUAAGAUGGUAGGAAAAGUUAACCAAAAAUCCCCUCUGCAAACUUCCCAUCAUGUCUUAUUGGCCAGAAGUAUGUCACAGACUCAUUACUGGCAAAGAAAGGGGAUCAUUAAAACUUGUUUAGAGCAAUUAUGAUUUACCCUGUGGAGCUGGGGUUGGAGCUGAGAUCAGGACUGUCUUUCCCUGAUGCCCAUGGCAAGGAGAAGCAUAGAAAGAACAAAAUUGGGAUUCUGUUAUUAAGAAAGAACAGGGAAAUUGUUAUUAGGCAUCAGGGUAUACAUACAUACCUAGAACAUUACAACUUAUGCUACACAUAAGUACCUAGAACAUUAUAGUCCUUCAAUAGGUGCCUGUUGAAUGAAUAAAUAACUUUUCAAUUCAUACAAAAUGUACUAAGAGAAAGUGUAUUGUUUCAUUUUCUCUCACUUGCAGAUUCACUCUUCUUUGCCUGUUCCUUAAAAUGGAGCUUUCAUCUUUAAAUAUUUUCCUUUACCAGUUGAUGAGAUAGUUAAACUUUGUCAAUAGAGGACAAAAGAGACAUUGCACAAGAGAAAGAUUUUCCUUCUUGUUGGGGUGUGUGUAUUUAUGUGUUCCCAACAGGCUCCUACAACCAGGAGCGGCAACUUCCCCCCAACAACCUACACGGACACUUUCUGGAAAGUUUCAGGAGGCAGAUUUCUAGCAAGGCCACCAAGAUAGCAAAACCAAAUGUUCUGUGUUGUACAGCGAGGCACAGCUAUUCCCUUUCCAGCAAGGACUGGAUCUCAAUCCUUGGGGAGCAGGAUUCUUCGUUGGGUGCUCUAUCUCAGCCACGAGGGGCAUAACUGCUCCUAAUAUCUGCUAUUGGUAUUGUCUUAGUCCAUUCAAGAUGUCAUAACAAAAUAUCAUAACCUGGUGCUUUAUAAACAACAGAAAUUUAUUUCUCAAAGUUCUGGAACCUAGGAAGUCCAAAAUCAAGUCACUGGCAGAUUAAA